rnacentral:rRNA from 1 species
GACGAACGCUGGCGGCGUGCCUAAUACAUGCAAGUAGAACGCUGAAGGAGGAGCUUGCUUCUCUGGAUGAGUUGCGAACGGGUGAGUAACGCGUAGGUAACCUGCCUGGUAGCGGGGGAUAACUAUUGGAAACGAUAGCUAAUACCGCAUAAGAGUAGAUGUUGCAUGACAUUUGCUUAAAAGGUGCAAUUGCAUCACUACCAGAUGGACCUGCGUUGUAUUAGCUAGUUGGUGAGGUAACGGCUCACCAAGGCGACGAUACAUAGCCGACCUGAGAGGGUGAUCGGCCACACUGGGACUGAGACACGGCCCAGACUCCUACGGGAGGCAGCAGUAGGGAAUCUUCGGCAAUGGGCGGAAGUCUGACCGAGCAACGCCGCGUGAGUGAAGAAGGUUUUCGGAUCGUAAAGCUCUGUUGUAAGAGAAGAACGAGUGUGAGAGUGGAAAGUUCACACUGUGACG